CGGCACCCAUUCACUGCAGAGGAUCCACUGGUAAUUGCAACACAUGCCAAAUGUGUAGUUUCAUCACAUCAAAACACUGGGAAUAAUUAGGAAGAUUUUGGGUCUUUCCAGCAGCCACUCAUUUCAGUCUCCCACCGAUGACCCAGCGAGGGGCCAGACACGAGAUGAUUGUUUGUGGCAUUGAUGUAACGUCUAGAAGAGCUUCAGUCUGUAAUUAUGUGAAGUGCUCAUGAAGGAGACAGACACGGUGAAGAUAAAU